UACGUAGGGGGCAAGCGUUGUCCGGAUUUAUUGGGCGUAAAGAGCUCGUAGGCGGUCCGUCACGUCGGGAGUGAAAACUCGGGGCUCAACCCCGAGCCUGCUUUCGAUACGGGCGGACUAGAGGUAGGUAGGGGAGAACGGAAUUCCUGGUGUAGCGGUGAAAUGCGCAGAUAUCAGGAGGAACACCAGCGGCGAAGGCGGCGCUCUGGGCCGGUACUGACGCUGAGGAGCGAAAGCGUGGGUAGCAAACAGG
rnacentral:rRNA from 1 species